AGGCGAGGGGGGGCGGCGGGGCAGCCCGGUGUGGGGGCAGCUCCCACCGGCGGGGCAGCCCGGUGUGGGCCGGGCCGGGCACACCGACUGGCUCAGCCUCGGCAGUGCCGCCUUUCGGCCUCGCUGGCGGCUGGGUGUCCCAGCCAUCGCUCCGGGGGGGCUGCGCCGGCCCAUCCCCGCCCCUUGCACCGUGCGGGUGCCCCCCGGGCCGAGCCACCGCGGGCGCUGACCCUCUGCCCCCGGCCUUGUCCCGCUUCCCCUGGUCACCGUACUCCAAGUGCAAUACUCGGGCUUCCUAAGGGAGCCAAACUGAACCAGCUCCAUCUGUAGCUCAAGCGAUUUCAUUGCCUAUUACUGUAAUUCUUAAAAGAGGAAACCAGGAAUGAAAAGGGGUGUGGGUGUAAAAGAGAGGAUAGAGUAAUUUUUAUUAAAAAAAAAAAAUAGUGAUUUAAAUUUUCAUUUUGCAUUUAAAUGCAAUUUUUGGAAAUUGAUGCUGUUUGAAAAAGUGGCCGCUGGUGAGCUAACUCGGGAGCGCAGUGCUGCCUGGCCACAUCCUCAGCAGCCAGCUGGGGACCCGGUGGUGUUGCAUGGGGGAUAUAGGUUCUGCAAUGUACAUCAGGUUACUCAAAGCAUGACCUGAUCUGGACAGCUGGAAAUGCAGAACUCAGGGUCAGGUCUUAAGAUUCACCUAUUAAAUAGAAUGAGGCCCCACUCUUGCGGUUGCAACAACUCAGCCUCUUGGAAUUAAAUGCCUAAGGGAUGUAGACCCUUCUCCUUUCCCUCCACUCAACGGUCAGAUUGCUCCUUCCAGUGCCUUUCUUUUCCUGACAGGACCUGAACUCUGCUGCUGAUGCCCUCUGAUGUCCUCCACCAGACUGCGAGGCUGUCCAGCACUCACUUUGGAGCUGAUGCGAGUUGAAAAUACUCACUACAUCAUAUAGCCGGGCCAGAAGAACAUGCCGAUACCAUGACUCGUUAGCGCUGAAGGCUGCUGGUGCAAAACCCUAAGAGGACAAACCAAAGAAAAGAAAUUACAAAGCACUGCCACAGAGGGAGGCCCAUUCUGUCGUGGGCUGUACAUGCACCAUGUUCAGUGGAGGCUGCAGUGCCCAGCGUACUGGAGCAAGUAGCAGCAGCGUGGGUGGCACAGGACGGUGACUGGGGCAGAGGCCUGGUCCCUCCCCCUUGCAUGCAGAGGCAUUGGCCUCCCAGGUCUCGUGUCACCCACAGAUGUGGCCGCAGGAUGCGCAGAUGUGUGCUGCAAACGUGGGUGCUCCCAGAGAUCCAAGGCCCACUGUCAUUUCUUGCUGAUUAUUUGGGAAAAAUGUCCCCUUUUUAGUUACCGUGUAUUCGGUCUUGGACCACAGAAGUAAAGUGCAUGGAGUUCAGUUAUUUUGAGCUUAUUAAAUUAUUGUUAAUUUCUUGAGAAAAGAUACUCACUACCUUUCCUUCUGAAGAAACCCAAAAUCUAAGUUUAUCUUGGGUGUUGGGAUUUUUUAAGAAAUUAUUUAUAGUUUUUAAAUUACGUAGUAAAAAAAGCAUUUAGGAGAUGAGAGAGCAGCAGGUGGUUGUUCUUGCGAGUGCUGCAAACAAACUGAGGCAAUGCCCUGUGUGCUGGAAACCAACAGGCAGACCUGUGAGGAUGAAAUUGCAUUUUAAAACUGAAUUUCAAAGGCAGAAAGUCCUGUCAAGAAACUCCAUCUGUGUUAAUGGAUGGAAGUAAUUUCCUCCCUUGUUAGAUAUUCCAGAGCAGGCAGAUACUUGAUUUACAUCUGCUGUCUCCUAGUGACAUAAAAUAUGGUUUGGUGAUACAGUCUCAAUGAAGACACUGAAGGUCAGGGAACAAUUAAUCACUUUCUUGUGAGAUUUAAUAUAAAGAUAUUUGGGCAUAUUUAGGAUAUUUAGGCAUCUGAAGAUGAAGACAGCACCACCUGGAUUUAAAAAGUGUCUAAGAUGGGAACUGUCUUGCUGUCGCUUGUCAGUGCCUAGAGCAGCCAAAGGCUAUCGACGAACUGUUGCACGGCCCUAUGCUGUGAAGGCUUAAAGGAACGCAGAGCACCACGAUGCACCCAGUCAACCUCAAUUCAUUGCAAAAUAGCGUAAUGCAAGUAAAAUCAGCUGAGUGGAGUUUCCAGAGUCCAGUUUUGCUCUAAACGAGUAUAAUGCUAAACCCUCACCUUCCCUUGGAUGGGAACAAGCGGUCUGUUUUCUGCUUCUGGCAGUCAGGAGAAGGGGACUCCCAACUGCCUGGUCAGAAAGAGAUCAUUGCUGAAAGGGGUCCCAGUUUCCAUCCCUUUCACUGGAAACCAAAAGCAGUGCCUAUAUCCAGAGCCUUCUGUCUGUAACAGCUCCUGGAUUCAAAACUUCAGGGAACAGGAGACUGCCAGACCAGAGAAGACUGACGGGAGGCAUCGUUGCCUUUAAUGAUGUUUCUUCUUGGCAAUUUUUCUACCACUUUUUCCACAAAUCAUUGAGAAGAUUAGCUAAGUCUUGCCGCAGGUAUGUCUAUGUCCAGUAAGAUAUAUUUGUGAUAGAUCAGCCCAGCACUGCAAGCCUAACUGAAAUGCUGGACUCCUUACAUCUGCCACGAUGUCCUUUCUAAAGCUGGGCUUCGGCACUUCCAUGGCUGUAUCUGCGCUGCACACUGCUGCAAUAUGAAUGAAUACGUAAGUGAACCUAGGAAGUUACUGUGACGGCUCUCCCCCCAAGUGGUUGCCCAGAAUCUAAUGGAAAAACAAGCAGUAGGUGUACAAACAGGCAGCUGACUGCCAGUUGGACUCACCCCCAUUUUUGCUGCAGCACUUCAAUAAAAGCCAAUUAUACCAAACUCCGGUAACGUCUGUAUUACUGAUAGACUGCAGACGUAUUUAGUCUUUAUGAAUGAACAGGCUAAGCGAAGCUAAAUUGUUCUGCUAAACAUCUUAGUGAGUAAUUAACCCUGAAUUAUCAACAACAGGCAGCUAUGGUAAUGGUUACGAAAGAAAUAACAACCAGUUGCACAGUUAUUAACACGAGAGCACUGAACAAGGCAGACGAACAGCAUGUGCUGCCAUGGAAUUAAUAGAAGGGACAACAGUGGCAAGUGCCAUCUCCCGCAGGGUGGUACAGUUCCAGGGGGCUGAGAUAGCUGCCGAAAGACACUUGCUUUGGCAAGAGCAGCAUGUACUCAGCAGUAGACGGAUGCAAGUCAGAAGCGGAUGAUAAUAAGGAGCAUUAAAAAUAAAUCUAACCUAAUUAGGUAAAAAAAAAAAACCAACCAAAAAGAUGCGAACCUGACAGCUGAGGAGCUGGCAACUGUUUAGUUUGAGCAGUUACCCUGUGGACAAGAAAUUCAUACUGGAGCACCAGGACGCAGCCAGAUGAAGUGACCUGCUGUGCACCCUGUGCUCCCUCACUGGACUGUGUCAGUGCCCAUUUUCUGAAGCUGUGAGCUCACCAGUUUCAGAAAGGAGAGUCUCUUUAAAAUGUCUUGUUUUGAAACAUCCUGAAACAUCAGCUAAUUCUUAAACAUCUCUGAUACCAUGUUUGUAUAGGAGCAUUCACAUACACCUGCAAAUUCUGGACCAACGAAAGACCAGGGGCUGACAAGCCUGGGACCGAGGCAUAUAGAUACAUCAUGGACGUAGCAGUGCGGGCUCCCCUCGGUGUCCCUCUCUAACCCUUUUCACGGACCAUUUGUCAGCAGAGUGAGGAGCUCCACGUCCCUUCUCGUCCUCUUUGCUGAGAAGGUAAACGAGGCAGGCAAAUAAGAGCAACCUCUUAUGACAGAGGAGACGUGUCCUCCUGGGUACUGCACUGCAAUUAAACAACUUGUUUUGCUUCCCAGCACGACUGAGGUGGCAGGAUGAAACUGAAAGAACAGUAUUAGUUACAGGAAAGAAAAAAAAAAAAAAAAGGAGAAAGCGAGUAGAAGGAUAAGCAGAGGAGAAACAGAAGGCAAACACAGUAAAAUGGAGGAAGUGGAACCAAAUCAAACCAAGGUCCUUACUGCAAGCAGAACCAGUCUGUCCGCUGAAACGCAGAGGUGGUGCAAAAAGAGCUGCUAGAUCCUCAGACUAGGAAGCCUGUCUUCCCUCCCCACCUCUUCCCUAUUUUUUUAUUUCUAUUCUUUCUUUUGAACCAGUUGUAUUAAGAAAACAGCUCCCUCUGUUCUUACUGGAGAACAUGGGGAACUUACCCGUGUAGCCUGGACUUUAUUAAAGUGUCUUUUCUUCCUUCUCCGCGUUUCUGUUUAGUGAAUCUAGUUCUCCUGGGUUACAAAAUGUCCCCACGUAGCAGCUCCCCCUGCCCUGCAGGACAGUCCCUUUGCCUUGCUGAGGAAAGCUGCCUCAAGGAUCCCAGCCGGCCUUAUCCAUCCGAUUUCUGUAUGGGGUCUUUGUGAAUUAUAAGUCCGCUCUGACACCUAGACAGCAAAUAAUUUAAUCUCAAGCUACCACCCUUUCUCUUCUUACUGUCCCGGAAAAGGUAGGGCUGGAAGAAUGGGAUGUAUGCUCUUAUAUAAUGGUAGCGACGCGAGAAAUGUGUAAUGCAUGAAGUUACAUACGUUAUUCUGGGGGAGAAGGAUUUGUCUGUCUCUUCUGGCUGCACACCCUGGCCUUGGAGAGCAAAGCAGGGCCUAUCUCCCCUCCACCACAGUGCAGUUCCUUUGGGAACUGUGUCGAAGGGUCUGGACAUACCCCUGACAAUGGGAGAUGCUCCUGGGUUUGGGGGCAGACGUUUACUCACUUUCUGGUUCCUCUUGCUCCAGAGUCCUCCCUAGGAAUCCACAGGAGACCAAGACCAGGAGCUUGAGACGUGCUUCUCUCAUCAGUGCUGCUCCUCUGACAGGCGAUGUGCUAAGCCAUGCCAGCACCUGCAGCACAGUGCAGAGGAACAAACAGCUUUUGGGGCACGGGAAGCAAGUUUUGCAUAAACACGACGAUGGUCUCUGUGCUCUAGGGCCUGAGCUGCUGUUUUUCCUUGAACUCAAUAGGUGUCUUCAGAUAACUGCCAAGAGAGGAUUUACUUCACCUAAUGCGCAGGGAGAAUUAGAAGGGCUGCAUUCAUUUAACUGCCUAAGAUAGACAUGAAGACCAGAAAAUCCCAAAUUUGGAUUUGUCACAGAACAAAAUUCUGAAGUUAAUGUCACUUUAAUGCAACAGGGUUUAAUCCACAGGAUUUUACUGGAGUCCAGCCCACACCACAGGAAAAGCUUCUGCUGGUGGAACAGAGUGUAUUUCUGGCUGUGAUUUUGAUGACUGCUGACCAGUUUGCCCAGUACCAUCAGUUUGGUAUUAAUUUAUAUGGGGAAAACUGUGCAUCAGCCAAGUUCAGUUUUCACAAGCUGGGAAUCACACAGAAACAGAAUGGGAAGGGACCCCAAAGCUCACAGAGAGCAUCUCACCCCAGUGUUCUCCUGGCCCCUAUCUAUUUAAAAAGGUCUUUAAAAAUCUCUUCUAACAGAGGUUUCUGAGCUUCCUCAGACCAUCUCUCCCUGCCUGUAACCAUCCCUGUGGCUAGAAGGUUUUUCCUAAUAUCUAACCUAAUUCUCUCAAGCUGCAAUUAAGCCUAUUAUUUGUGCCCUACUUACAUGGAUGAAUUCCUUCUUCUUUGCAAAAUACACUUCUUAUAGAAAACCAAAUUUCUGUGUUCCCUUUGGUCUUCUGCUGUUCACACUGAACACGACAUAAUCUUUAACAUGACCUGUUAGGACAGGCUCUUCCAAACUUCUAAUAAUUCUUGAUUCUCUCUGCUUGGCUUCCCUCCGGCUACUUCACAUCUCCCUUGAAGAGGAAAAAAAUUUGCUCAGCAUUUGAUACUCUGCUCUAGCUGAGGCCUUACUAGUGCUGAGUGGAGCUGAAGGAUUGCUUCAUGCAUUUUAUCAGUUACAGCUCUAUGUAAACACCCUUGUAUUGACAUUUAACAUUUUCACAACAGCCAGGUCCUGUUGACUCAUGCUCAGGUUGUGAUUCAUUCCCUGCAGAGCUACUGCAAAACCUUGGAUCCCUACCCCUUCCCCAGCACUCUGCAGGUCAAGCCCUCGUUCAUAAGUUAGUGUUGAAGGCUGACAUAUUGUUCACUUCUCCUCCUUUUUCAUUUUUUAGAAAUAUUGGUAGGGUGAAGCCAGUUCUUGUUUCUCUUUCCCGGAGUUCUCAGUACGCACCCUUUCUUCCCUCUGCUGAAGGCACACGGGUAGUGCAUCUUCACUAACAUGCUGCUUCUCCCUUCACCAACAAGGGUUUUCCUGGGUUUGUUUUUGUUCACAUCCAGUUAGCCCAAGUGAAAACAGCUUAUGAUCUGCAUAAGAUGCGCUCAUCCUCCUAUUAGCUUUUGUUUGCACGGCAAACAUACUGUCAUGAUCUUACCAGCUCUCUAGUCUCUUGGGGCCAUACGAGCACCUGCCUUCCUCAGGUUUGGCUGCUGAGGCUCAGGGAGCGCUCAAGGAUGACCCGAGAUCUCAGGACAGGGAGCUGCAGCGUUUUCCAGGCUGGCAGGGCGUCCAGGGAGCUGGGGGUAGCCCUCAGCCCAGGGCAUUAGCUGGUGGGUCAGGGCAGAGGUGCGGAUCCAGAGGCAGGCAGACUCCCCAUGAGAAUUCACGCCCUAUGUGGAAAAGAAAACAAGCAGCAGAAACAGUCCUCUCUUUCCCCCCAGGUAUGUUAUCUUUUAACAUUAACAUUUUCCCCCUCAGCAACUCCAAACUCAACCACACAAGUCAUCCUCCCAAAACACUACUUCAGGAAGCCUUAAACAUCAUAAACAAAAAAUGGUAAAACCUCUUUUACCUUUGCAGGUUAUGUUUAGUAUGGUGCUAUUAAAGGACUAUCAAGCAAUAUUAAUACAUCAACGUUUUCUAGUGUAUUUGAGUUCUGCACUUUUAAAAAUAAAGCUGGUCUGAUAAGCCAUAAAUUUACAUUUCUUAAGUCACCCUAUCUGGCUCCCUUAACAAAAUGACUGCAAUAUACAGCAGUGUAGAUCUAUAAAACUGUAGAUCUCCAAAUAUUAAUCAGAAGCUUUCAUAACAGAAAUUAAUAAAUGGAAGUCCAGAAAUUUAAUAAGGAAUGAAAUUUCACAAGCUGUUACAAGACCAGCCAAGACAGAUUUCAUAGUAUUUUAUAGGGCGUCUAAAGUAAAUUCAAUACUUUUCAAUGACAUUAUGAAACAAAAAUCACUUAACUGACUGUAGGCUUGAGGCGUGCUUCAGUUCAAGGUUGGUACUAGAGCAGUCUUGUGUGCUGGGUGACAAUCCUGAACAUCAGCUGGUAGUGCAGACACCUCUGGGACCUAAAAAGGAAGGGGUAGCAAAGAAAGUGCUAACACCUGACAGACACAGCUCUAGGAGAAUCCUGAGGGUACGACUGCAAUUGAGCUAAUUUCAGCAGAAAAAAAUGCAGAUCUUAUGUAAGCAGGACUGGAGGAUAAUGUGGAAUAUGUCUUAUCUUUCAGUAUCAAUCACUAAUAAUUAGAUUACUGUAAUAAUUGCCUCUCCAUUAUACAGGUUUUUUUGUCUCCAUUUGCUAUCACAUACAACUGCUGACAGGAUGCUACGGAACACUUUCCUGAAUGGCUGCAGCACAUCUGUCAUUCUACCAGCCUGACUCAUGACUGGGACCACUAGAUGCUACCACAAUACAAACAAAUAAUUAAGCAAUCCUGAAAAAAUAACAGAGCAAAUUGGAGUGAUCCUCUUCUCAGGGCAAUAAAGACCCUGAAACAAGAUGUCCUCUCACAAGGCUGGGCAGAUGAACCUGAUGGAGAACCGAGGGAGCACUCGCUAGGAAGCAGCGGCAGGGAACGCAGCUCGCAAGCAGUAUUUUUAUGAGAGGAAACUUUUCCACUGAGACACUAAGUAACACCAGAAAGCUGGACACCUGUCUUCUGUCUACUGCAUUCCAACCAACGUUUAAUUUGAGCCAUGAUUUACUCCAUGAGACUGCAGAAGUACGAGUUCCAACAGGUCUGACCCAUCGAGGGUAGCCUGGUCCCCACCUGAGACAUUACUGGCUGGCUUCUGGGGCCUCGGAACAUAGAAGAUGAAGAUUAUGUUUGUUCCUUUUCCUGCGUCUUUGUGAACACUGUGUUAAUAACACUUGGUUCCUUGGUUACCUCAGCGUCAUCACCCUUCAGACCUUCAGAAUAAAAUAAAUACUCAACCAAGAAGCCUUUCUCUCUCGCAUACGUCAACAAUUCCUGUCCAGUUCACCUGACAGACCUGGCCAUUUCCACAGUUCAUCAGCAGAGGAGAUGGCAGAGGAUGCCCCACAAGAAACGCCUGACGCUAAGCCUUUGAAUGCUGUCACAAAGAGGCCACCCUGAGCACCUCCAAGAAUGGGAUGAGGUAGAUGGGGAUCCUGCUCCGCAGCCACGCAGGAAGAGGUCAGAGAUGGAUGCCAAAAGAUAACGUCAAUGAGCAGCUCACUCUCUCGGCGUAACAGCUGUCUGUUGCGAUACAAAUAAAAAAGUGCACUGAGACUUCACCCAAGAUCUGCGGCCAUCGUGUGAGGCACAGGUUACAAACAUCAUACAAAUAGUGCUUGUAAGCAGGCUUAAGAAUUGGCAAACACUGGACAAGACAGGUAAGAGAUGGAGAAAUACAAA